AUUGAACGCUGGCGGCAUGCCUAACACAUGCAAGUCGAACGAGUGGCGGACGGGUGAGUAAUGUCUGGGAACCUGCCCGAUGGCGGGGGAUAACUACUGGAAACGGUAGCUAAUACCGCAUACCAUCGGAUGUGCCCAUAUGGGAUUAGCUAGUAGGUGGGGUAAAGGCUCACCAAGGCGACGAUCCCUAGCUGGUCUGAGAGGAUGACCAGCCACACUGGGACGGAGACACGGUCCAGACUCCUACGGGAGGCAGCAGUGGGGAAUAUUGCACAAUGGGCGAAAGCCUGAUACAGCCAUGCCGCGUGUAUGAAGAAGGCCUUCGGGUUGUAAAGUACUUUCAGCGGGGAGGCGGUACCCGCAGAAGAAGCACCGGCUAACUCCGUGCCAGCAGCCGCGGUAAUUC
rnacentral:rRNA from 1 species